rnacentral:lncRNA from 1 species
CCUCCCUUGCUUCUCAUUUGUCAUCUUCCCCUGCUUCUCCCUCUCGCUACUGGAGAACCCAGUUUAGGUGACCUAUACCUGAAGACAUCAAAGAUCUCUAUGUGCCUUCUUUGAACAGCACAAUAAGAAUAGAAUCAGAAACUGAUUUAAACUCAACUUUGGAGACAGAAACAUCUGACAUUUUUUAGAUGAAGAACUGGACAAUUUAAAUGACCCAAAAUAAGGAAGUAUGGCCUUACAAGAACAAUCUCUCUCAUGAUUCCAUGGUCUGAACGGCUGGCCACUGAGGAAAGAAAGAUGAGGCAAUUUUUCCAGAAGACCAAACAGGAUGACUGUUUCCUUAAGAAGUGCUUCUCUCUUCCCUGGGGAACUCCAUCAUGGCUUCUUGCUCAGAUUGGUCUUCCAGAGAGACUCCAUGUGGGAAUUGUUCCUGAUGGAGGAACAACGACAAUGUGUCAGUCUGAAGACCUAUUCAAACGCCUUUUCUCAAGUGAUUAAACAAGUAUACUGAUUGAAUAGUGAUUUGCUUCUUCCUUCAGCUUUGCUUCCCUUUGCUUCAAU